AUUGAACGCUGGCGGCAUGCCUAACACAUGCAAGUCGAACGGCAGCACGGUCUAGCUUGCUAGACGGGUGGCCAGUGGCGAACGGGUGAGCAACGCGUAGGAAUAUACCUUGAAGUGGGGGACAACCUGGGGAAACUCAGGCUAAUACCGCGUAAUCUCUUCGGAGGGAAGCUGGGGACCGCAAGGCCUGGCGCUUUAAGAUUAGCCUGCGUCCGAUUAGCUAGUUGGUGGGGUAAGGGCCUACCAAGGCGACGAUCGGUAGCUGGUCUGAGAGGAUGAUCAGCCACACUGGGACUGAGACACGGCCCAGACUCCUAGGGGAGGCAGCAGUGGGGAAUAUUGGACAAUGGGGGCAACCCUGAUCCAGCAAUGCCGCGUGUGUGAAGAAGGCCUGAGGGUUGUAAAGCACUUUCGGCGGGGAGGAGGGCAGAUUGGUUAAGAGCUGAUUUGUUGGACGUUACCCGCAUAAGAAGCACCGGCUAACUCCGUGCCAGCCGCCGCAGUAACAC
rnacentral:rRNA from 1 species